AACGAACGCUGGCGGCAGGCUUAACACAUGCAAGUCGAGCGAAGACUUCGGUCUUAGCGGCGGACGGGUGAGUAACGCGUGGGAACAUACCCUUUACUACGGAAUAACUCCGGGAAACCGGUGCUAAUACCGUAUACGCCCUUCGGGGGAAAGAUUUAUCGCUGCAAGAUUAGCCCGCGUCGGAUUAGCUAGUUGGUGGGGUAAUGGCCUACCAAGGCUUCGAUCCGUAGCUGGUCUGAGAGGAUGAUCAGCCACACUGGGACUGAGACACGGCCCAGACUCCUACGGGAGGCAGCAGUAGGGAAUAUUGGACAAUGGGCGAAAGCCUGAUCCAGCCAUGCCGCGUGAGUGAAGAAGGCCUUAGGGUUGUAAAGCUCUUUUGGCGGGGAAGAUAAUGACGGUACCCGCAGAAUAAGCUCCGGCUAACUUCGUGCCAGCAGCCGC
rnacentral:rRNA from 1 species